CAAAAGUCAGACAGUUCUGGGGCUGAACUUCAAACUGGCAGGCAGCGCUGUCUCUCAGAAGGCAGCAAACCAGCCUUCCUGUGAUACCUGAGCACACUGCUGAAACUUCUGCUUACAAUUGUGUUCUCUGAAGUCAGAAACGUUACGGUUUGGAAAUUCAUCAUUAAGAAUGAUAUAACUGGGCUGCAGAGGCUGGAUCCCUCUGACAAAGAACCAGCCUAACAUUCUCAACUUAGUGCACAGUUACACUCAAAGAAGUUUCUGAGGACGUUUCCUGUCCAUGUCAACUCUCGUAGUUUUCAAGUUAACAAGGCCCGGAGUCCACGUUCACAGAACAGACGCGAUGUAGAACUCUUCAUACACAGCCCUAGUCAAUUUCGGACACAAUAAAACAUCGAUUCACUUAAAUUUUAUCUACUCUUCCUUGAAAUCUUACAAACUUCCUUUGUGUGGAAGGACUGUCAGGACCUGUUCUCAAAUACAAUGAUCUCAUUUGUGGUGAUGAUGACGAGCCUAACACGUAUCAUAGUGAUGACUAUUUUAUGAUAUUUACCCAAAAGGCCAAAUACAGAGGAGUGCAAGAGAUUAGCCACACACUAGAGGCCCAAAGAAUCCAGCCAAGGGUCUGGAUCCCACAGCAAUGUCCCACACAAGUCCAGCUGAAGGACUACAGUCCAAGGCCACAUCCUCAGUGGGUCCACCCGGUGGCCUGGAGCUCACAGCAAUGUCUCAUGCUUGUGUAUAUUGAGGAUGUGCACCUGAAAGGCCCAAAGGCCAGUGGUAAAAGACAGAAAACUUAUGCCAGUGGGGGGAAGGAUUUGUGCCACCAGGCUGAGGGAUCUACACUGGAGCCAGGAAGUGAUGCUCACGAUGAAGGUCAGAGCUCCCCUGACGAGAACAGUAGCCAUUCCUAGCUACAGCUAGGCCCUGAGCUCCUCCGACGAGAACAGCCAAGUUCACAUCAGGCAAACCACCCAAAGCAAGCUACUCCUAGAAAAUCAACAGCCCCAGAUCUUCCCCUCCU
rnacentral:lncRNA from 1 species